AGUGCGAAGGAUUGCCACUAUGUUGUUGCUUCCAGUCAUUUUGUUCCUGGCACUGUGUGUUUUUGGUUCUGAGACUCAACUAGUUGUGACCCAACCGUCCUCCUUGUCUAAACCUCUGGGUUUGGAGGUCAGAAUCCCUUGUGCUAUGAACAGUGGAUACAGCAUCAGCCAGGAGAGAGCAAGGUGGUUGCAGCAGAAAUCCGGAGGCACCCCUCGGUUUCUUUACCACUAUUAUACCAGUAGUGACCAAGGUAGGGGCUCAGGGGUCCCAGAGAGAUUCAGCGUCUCCCCUGAUGCCUCCAACAACCUCUGGAAUUUAGUCAUUGCGGGAGUCCAAGCUGAAGAUGAGGCGGAGUAUUAUUGUGCUACAUGGGACUACAUUAAUGAUCUGUCUCUAUGGGGAACUGAGACAAAAAGUCUCACUUCUCAUGCAUCAGAAGAUAAAGUACAACAGAACUCUAGUUCCACGGCAAAUGAAGUAAUAUAG